rnacentral:rRNA from 1 species
AGGGGCAGCAUGACGAUAGCUUGCUAUGUCGAUGGCGACCGGCGCACGGGUGAGUAACGCGUAUCCAACUUCCCCAUAGUAGGGCAUAGCCCGUAGAAAUGCGGAUUAAUACCCUAUGUUUUCCGAAGCAGACAUCUAAUUCGGAACAAAGGUUCACCGCUAUGGGAUGGGGAUGCGUCUGAUUAGGUUGUUGGCGGGGUAACGGCCCACCAAGCCCUCGAUCAGUAGGGGUUCUGAGAGGAAGGUCCCCCACAUUGGAACUGAGACACGGUCCAAACUCCUACGGGAGGCAGCAGUGAGGAAUAUUGGUCAAUGGGCGAGAGCCUGAACCAGCCAAGUAGCGUGCAAGGAAGACGGCCCUAUGGGUUGUAAACUGCUUUUAUGCGGGGAUAAAGUGGGCUACGUGUAGUCCUUUGCAGGUACCGCAUGAAUAAGGACCGGCUAAUUCCGUGCCAGCAGCUGC